GAUUUCAUUCAUAUAUAUAUAAAAACAAAUGUAAAUAUGCCGGAUUAUAGCUACAAAGCUAGUUUUCAUCCGUAGUCCCUAGGCAGGCAAAUACAUAAGA